UCGUACAAGCAUCUUAGUGCAUCGAUG
rnacentral:sRNA from 1 species